ACGGGACCCGCACAAGCGGUGGAUGAUGUGGAUUAAUUCGAUGCAACGACGAAAACCUUACCUACCCUUGACAUGCCAGGAAUCCUGCAGAGAUGUGGGAGUGCUCGAAAGAGAACCUGGACACAGGUGCUGCAUGGCUGUCGUCAGCUCGUGUCGUGAGAUGUUGGGUUAAGUCCCCGCAACGAGCGCAACCCUUGUCAUUAGUUGCCAUCAUUAAGUUGGGCACUCUAAUGAGACUGCCGGUGACAAACCGGAGGAAGGUGGGGAUGACGUCAAGUCCUCAUGGCCCUUAUGGGUAGGGCUUCACACGUCAUACAAUGGUCGGUACAAAGGGUUGCCAAGCCGCGAGGUGGAGCCAAUCCCAGAAAGCCGAUCGUAGUCCGGAUCGGAGUCUGCAACUCGACUCCGUGAAGUCGGAAUCGCUAGUAAUCGUGGAUCAGCAUGCCACGGUGAAUACGUUCCCGGGUCUU
rnacentral:rRNA from 1 species